AAACUUUCUUAAUAGUUUGAAAUAAAAUCCUGGAAUAAGCAAUCCAAGCGUAGAUCCUCAGCUGCUGAUGCACUGUGGAUGCUUCAUGCAUUCAUUACGAUAGCGUGGAAGAAAGUGGGGAUGUGAUGGUGUUUCCCAGUGGGGAGUGUGUAGAGCUGCGCAGUGACAGCAUGUGUUGUCAUCAUUUAACUUGCAAUGCUCACUGCUAGAGUGAAGGAAGUCUGAGCAAUGCAUAAAAUGCUGGCAAAACAAGGAAGCAAGAGUAAGUGACUUUCCCAAGUGUGAUGAAGGCACUUUUUAGAACAGCAAGCAUGUAUUUAAUAUUUAUAUUUCAUUAGGCAGGGAGCAUGCCUUGAGGAAGCAGAGGUCAGGAGUGACGUGUAAAUCUUUAUUUUGAUGUGUUCCAGCAUGUGGUUUCUUUCCUUUCCAGCUGGUUGGAUUUUCUGCUUCCUUUCUUCUUGCUCAACCCUAAGCUCACCAGGAAACUGAUCGUAAUUAACUUCAUCCCUUUUUCGUUUCACAGGUUCAUGGACUUUACAACUGCUGGCAUUGAGACAGACUUUAUAAAUAAGUUAAUUCAGCCCAUUAUUCUUUAUCAUCAUCUUACUUCAUGACAGGCACACGCAUGCACGUGUGUGUUUGCGUGUGUGUGUGUGUGUGUGUGUGUGUUUGUGUGUCUGCUUUAUAUGCACAGAUGUGCACAUAUGUCCAUAUGGCUGGUUUAUUUUUAUUAUAUUUUAUUUUUAAUCAACAUUGGUAAAGUCACCUGAGUAAAGCAUUUAGUGAGUGUUCUUAAUAACCUUUGAUAUUUGAGAAAAAUUUACUGCAGAUCUAGAACAAAGAAAUGAAAGUCACUUAACACUAUUUUUUUCUGGAGAGAGAUUGUCACUUUAUGUUCAACUAUCCCAUCUUGAGUCCAUUCAAGUGAAUUCUCAAAAAAGCCCUGUGAAGUUAGGAACUAUUUCAACAUACUGCUGUGUUCUGGUCUUGAUUGUGAGUUAUACGUAUCAUUCAAGAAGUAGACCAACUGAGCACAGAAUGAACCUCCCAGUCCUACAUUCUUCGUGAUUAAUGUGAAACUCGUGGCCAUGCAUUCAGACAGUCGCAUUAUUAGUCUGUGUUGUGCAAUGAGUUGUUCUCCUGGUCUGCUCCACGUUCUA